AUACGUAGGGGGCGAGCGUUGUCCGGAAUGAUUGGGCGUAAAGGGCGCGUAGGCGGCGCGGUAAGUCUGGAGUGAAAGUCCUGCUUUCAAGGGGGGAAUUGCUUUGGAUACUGCCGCGCUUGAGUGCAGGAGAGGUUAUCGGGAUUCCCGGUGUAGCGGUGGAAUGCGUAGAGAUCGGGAGGAACACCAGCGGCGAAGGCGGGUAACUGGACUGCAACUGACGCUGAGGCGCGAAAGUGUGGGGAGCAAACAGGAUUAGAUACCCUGGUAGUCCACACUGUAAACGAUGAAUGCUAGGUGUAAGAGGUAUCGACCCCUUUUGUGCCGGAGUCAACACAAUAAGCAUUCCGCCUGGGGAGUACGGCCGCAAGGUUGAAACUCAAAUGAAUUGACGGGG
rnacentral:rRNA from 1 species